CAUAUUAGUUCCGUUCAGCUCUCGUACAAUAUCGCUACAACAUGAAGGCCUUCUUCGUCGCUGCCUUGGUGGCAAUAGUUUCAAGUCAAGCGCCAAAUGAAUCACAACACAACGUUCAGCACCAGCACCUGGAUUACAAUCCGGAAUACGCUUCUCCAGAUUAUUACAAGCCCCUCUAUCAACACCGACCUUAUUACGGCUACCAUGCACCAGAAAAUAAACCAGCAUCCAUCUCCGCAAUCGUCAAGUUUCUUGUAAAAUUCCAUUUCCUGCCAAAGUAUUGACGUUUGCUCUUUAAAUUGUUUUUAAUUCUUUCGCUUGUGGUUGCAAUUGCUUUGCAUUUAGUGAUGUCCAGCGAACUUGUGAUUUGUGUAAACUAGGAAAUAUCGUAAAUAUCACGGUACAUCUAAAGUAUAUUUUAUUUUGAAAUAAAGUUAAUUUCUUUCGACAAA